CCUAUUACUGCAAAUCUGUAUUUAUCUUGAUAGUGAAAGAAACUGCUUUAAUUAAUAAUUCUUCAACUUGAAUUCUUUAAACUAAAACUAUCUGAAUAUUUGUUUAUAGUCAAUUAGGGCGCCCACCCACGCUCUUCAAUUCCAUUAAAUUUCCUUGUACGUAUCCAUUUAUAUGAUUCAACCACAACUUAUUAUCUACUUAAAACCCAUAGAAACUGAACAAUCUAACCUCCAUUUGUUCUUCGAUAGCUCGGCGGUAGAGUGGAUAGCUAAUAAAGGAGCUCGUUUUGACCAUUCUGCCGUAUUUGAAAAUCACCUUUAAUCCCUUGGUUUAGUUCCAGUAUAAUUCUCUGUUCCAUAGCCCAGUGAGAAACCAACUUUCCUUCAGCGAUGAAGAUCAAAAUGCGUAACAAAAUUCGGCCAUUUGCUGGUGGAGAACACAGGAAGAAUUCGAAGUAAAUGGGCAUUUCAGAAUUGACAUUACUGAUUUCUCAAGUCUCACAAAUUUCUCAGAGAAAUGGAGAGGCUGGCUUUUGUUGCUGUUGAAGGGCUUGAGAUCUCCGGCAUAAUCUGAUAAGUUACUUGUCUGGCGACUUCUGGUUCCCGGUCGGAGGAAUCAAGAAAGAAGAUAUGGAAAUACCCGGUGUGGUUACAAUUCUUCUUGCAGGGUCUUCUGGUUCUGGAAAAGUUCUUUUGUCAACUUGAUGUACAGUAUUCUUGAUCGAUCUGGUCCCAUCCGUUUUGCUCAAACCUCAGGUAAAAAAAUUCCUUUAUAUUUUACUAUAAAGAAUCUAAUUGCAUUCCACCUAAUUGAUCUCAAGUCAUUAAGUCUCUCCACAAUCUGAUUUUAGUCGUGAAACGACCUAGAUAGAGCUAAGCUACAUGUAAUAGAAGGUUGGUUCUAUAUGUCACUUAGUUGCGAAUAUAGACCAAGUAAAUGUCGAAACUGGGGUUAGAUGUAAGAACGAUGCUAUGUGUACACAAUGAUGUACAUAAAAUAUUACACCCCUCUCACAUGGAAGGGGUCCACAUACAAUAAAAUAUUCGUGACCCCCUCCAUGUGAAAGGGUGUAAUCCAUUCCGUACACCAUGAGGUGUACAUAUAGUAUUAUUAUAAAUGUAACGACUCUGAUGUCAUCUCGGGUAUUUAAGUUUAGGGUGACUUGUAAGUUAUAAGCCUACAAGUUAUAACCACCUAAGCAUCCUCUACCCUAGUUUUAGGGUGCCUUCUACCCUUUAGUCAUGUGUUUUAUUAUAACUGUGAAUUGUAAUUUUUUUAUAUUGCUUGAAAUUAGGUGAAUCUUCAAAUUUUACGCCAAUGAUUCUAGAGGAACACGGUGUUCUAAGAUCACCAAGAAGUGGGUUUUGUAUAUAUGAUAUGAGGGGCUUAAAUCAAAACCAAAUGAACGAUGGAUAAGAGGAGGUUUCAACAUGGAUGUUGAUCGGUGUUUGCCAUAACCAGCCUUGUUACUGACCUGGUGAUGAAAUUGGUGGAUCAUUCGAUCUGUCCAAUUCAACGACUGGAUAGUUAUGUUCUUUUCAUGGAUCAUGUGGUGCAUUGCUUCCUUCUUUUCUAUCCUUGCAAAUUUCUUCUUAAAAUUUGGUCAUCACUAGAAUCUCAUGUUGAAGGAUUUCAUGGCUAGUUCUUGGGUGUCUAUGUUCGAUUCUGCAUCAUUUGUAGGGUCAAAUACACUCUCGGUUAAUAGACUCUUGACGAAGUUCCAUGUAGUAACUCAACUUUAUUUUGUUUCAAGUUGCUCGUCGAAAUUACUCUUUUUAUGAUUAGUUUACUU
rnacentral:lncRNA from 1 species